AGUGUGGAGCCAAACGGAGUACGGUGCAUAGACUGUACAUAAUUUUUUUUUUCGUGAGUUUUCAUGCUCAAAAUGAGAGAUCAGGUGGCCGAUCUUAAAAUAAAUCAAUACUGAUUUUUUUUAUAGAGCGUUAAAGUUUUGCGAAGCCAGGGGGCGGGACUACUUGAUUGACAGUCCGUUCCGGAACGAUUGACAGGUCCUAUGGAGGAGGCAGCAGAGACUCUGUUCUCCUCGUUUGGAUUAAUUCUGACAUAAUAACUGUUGGUUUAUUUAUCGGUGGAGCAGCAGAACAUUUUCUACAGACAGUUUUCCUGCCCGUUGGCUUGUUUUAACCAGUUUUCUACCUUCGGCUGAUUCUACCAGCAGACUCUGAAAGGACUCUUAGUUCAAGUGAAAGCAGCAGUUCCUCCUUAAGGUCAGAGAUUGCAGCAUCUGAGGGCCUCUUCAAAAGAAGACGUAGUUGAUGAAGGCAUUCUGGAGCAGGACCAGAAAGACCACGACCAAGCAGCCUUGAGAUCUUAGGCAGCGUCUCCCUCAGGUCCCUCUCUAUCUCCCCACACAUCCACCAACCACUGGAACACAUCUCCAAAGUUCUGCCGGGCCAGCUCAGCUUCCCCUCAGAAGAAGUGCCGCCACCUGCCAGAUGAAGGAGCCUUUUGAGAGGCAGCUGGCAUCGUGAUUGGACUGUACUUUGGUCUGUUCCAAUCCAGCUUCAGCUCCAGAGACGGCAGGCAGGACGAGUCAACGGAGGCCGGGUGGACGAAGGCAUGCAGCUGAGUACAAUCCAGAAAACAACAGAGGAGGAGCGCAGCGGCCCAGGACCAGAACAACCAGAACCAAAGAACUACAGACUCUUCACAACCUGCUCAAACUCUUGGUACAGGACCUCACCACACGGGUCAACAAGGUUUCUGUCUCAUUUCUACUCUGAAGCUCACCUUCUCCUGCUCAAACUGCUGACAAAUGUUUCUGCUGCUCUAAAGUCUGGUCUCCAGAACUUCCUAAAAACUCUCAAAGUCUCUUCUGCUGCAGGUUGCUUUGCAGAACUGUUCCAGAAAACCUCACUAAACCACAUGGAGGAGCCUCAAGAUAGUCGUCCAAAUGAAACCGUACAAAAACCAAACUAGCACAACCCAAACGCUAAAGUCUCCUACAGCCUACCAGAGAACCUCUGAGAACAGAGAAUCAGGACAGGAACUCUUACCUUCUGGACAACCAGCGUUGGUUCACAAACAAGAAUACAGAAUGUGUCUGACCAAAAACCUCUAAAGACUCACUACAGCCAAAAUAAAGACACAACUCAGCUGCAUCAAAUCCACUAAUCACUGCGCACAUUAGCACCAUGUGCUAACUGUGGCUAUAGAACCACAGUUACCAAGACAACUAUCCAGUAAAAAAGCCCUGAAACACACCAAGAAACACAUUAAAGCCUAUUUUACUGCUGGAAGCUGCAAGCCAACGCCUAAAAAACAAACUAAAGCAACGGAGCCAAACCCGGUUCAGUGGUGAAGAGAAACAAAGGAAAUGUUUGUCUGCAGAUAAAUAAAGCAGGAAGACACUGAGCUGCUCAGGUGUUCCUGAUAACGCCAAGCAGCCACCUGGACAGCCAAUAGGAACACAGCUUACUGGAAGUCUAGAGGGCUGGGUUAGUCAAGGAAAUUUAAUUUAAAGUUGAAGCAGAAAGUUAACAAAGAAAGUUGAAAACCACCUUCUGGUCCCUGAAAUCUCUGAGUUUUCACACAAAGAACGCCUGAACGUUUCAAACUGGUUCCAUAGUAGAACCAUCAUUGUAAAAACGUCAUAGUAUGGUGUGUUGCUCAAAAAACAUUUACGACCCGGCUGUCUAGGGUCGCCAAGGAGCAACACAAAAACAGGACAAACGCUAGUUUCCAGGGGUCCGUUUCACGAAGUAGGUUCAACAAACUCUGAGUGUAACCGUGAACUCUGAGUUGAUCCACUCUGAGAUAGGAAACUCUGAGUUUUUGGUUCCAGAACGGCUGAUUUGAGUUGGUUUAAUCAACUCGGAGUAGUUUCACCCGGAGUUAAGCGCGUGCACCACAACUCUGAGCAGCCAGUAUCAAUGGAGCGCCGAUUCGACGAGUCACCAUGGCAACGGGGAAGCGCAGGACGACACCGCUUGAACUGGAAAUCUUAAUGCGCUUAUAUCGCGAGUUUGAACACGUUUUUAGAAAGAAGUGCAACACCGCUGCAGCUGCCAAAGAGGGAGACGGCGUGGGAGAACAUUGCUGCCCGGGUCAAUGCAGUGAAAGCAGCAGUUCCUCCUUAAGGUCAGAGAUUGCAGCAUCUGAGGGCCUCUUCAAAAGAAGACGAAGUUGAUGAAGGCGGUCUGGAGCAGGAACAGAAAGACCACGACCAAGCAGCCUUGAGAUCUUAGGCAGCAUCUCCCUCAGGUGGGUGUCAAUGGU